ensembl:misc_RNA 7SK 7SK RNA
GGAUGUGAGGGCCAUCUGGCUGUGACAUCUGUCACCCCAUUGAUCGCCAGGGUUGAUUCAACUGAUCUGGCUGGCCAGGCAGGUGUCCCCUUCCUCCCUCUCCACUCCAUGUGCAUCCCUCCCAAAGCUGCAUGCUCAGUUGAAGAGGUCGACCAUCCCCGAUAGAGGAGGACCGGUCUUCGGUCAAGGGUAUAUGAGUAGCUGUGCUCCCCUGCUGGAACCUCCAAACAAGAUCAAGAAAAGCUACAUUCUGAAAGACCUCAUGGAGAAGUUGUAACCUGUAACUUGGUAUCAUAAAGAUUGGAAUGAUCCACUGCGUUGUUGUAGUUUGACCCUGUC